AUGUGGCUUGACUGUAUAUUUAUAUAUUAUUUAUUAUAUAUACACACACACGUAUUGAUAGAUAUGUACAACAAAACAAUACAUUACACACAGCACACUCAUACUCAUAGUAACUCGUGUUGUUAUGUUGUUGUUGUGUUGUUGUUUCAUAUUGCAGCUAGCAUCUACGUGGUUAGAAGGAUCCGGGCUUCCAUCGCUGAAGGAGAGCAACAGGAGAAGCCCAUCCUGACACCAUGUAGUGCUAUUGCUGGAAAGAGAGCGGGGCAGGGGUUGAGAGAAAAAGCCUCGACUGCAUCACUGAGCCCAGGAUCUGAUGAAGGCGUCUUAGAAGCAGCAGGGCCGGGGACGUCAUCAGAGACAGCCGUGCAGAAAUGUGGCUCCUGAUGUUAAAGACUACGCUGGACACUAGGACCAUGGACAAGUCAACGGAAAUAAAUAAUCUGUGAUUUAUUUCAUUUCAUUUUUUUUGGAGUACUCAUUCAUUUUAUACACUAAACAAUUUAUGUGAGAAGAUCUACAUUGUUAUUUUUUUUUUUUUACACAAAAGCAAACAUCAAACAAACAAGAAACAUUAUUCCAGCACUGUCCAUGUUGUACCCAGUGGUCAAAUUUCUUUUACUGGAGACAUUUUGACUUGCCACACCAUGAAGUACUGGCGUAGCUAAUAAAAAAUAUCACUAUAAUAACAUUAACCAAAAUCUGUUAAAAAAAAAAAGGAAUGGAUAUUUUAUCAAGUGUGAGUGGUAGGUCAACAUGUUCUCUGUAAGUAAAAUCUAAGUUUUAUCUGCUGCAGUGUUUGAAGGCCGGCUCACCAACCUCUUUCCAGGGGCUGAGCUGGCCUGAUGUUUCUGCUGUUACAUCAAUAAAUUAUAAAAAUGCUCUUGUGGUCAUAUUUUCUUUUAUAAGGAAUAAGAGUGUACCAGUAAACAUGCAUUCACAAUAAUUGUGAAAAAUGAAAAUAUCUAUGUUAAAAAUGAAAUCUUCAAUUAUUUUAUUUUUAGUAAUAAAUGAGUGAGUGACUGUUCUUUCACUGAGUUAGAGAGUUCAGGAUGAAUCUGACGAAUGGCAUUGUUUUUUUUUAAUUUUUAAUUUUUUACAGCUUUCAGAAACAAUUUUGCUCUGUGAUUUUUACAUUUUUGAAAAUAUAUUUAUUUUUUAUUUCAAUUAUUGCUCAAGGCUGUGGCUGAAGCAAAAACUCAGGUGUGGGAGGAGCUUGGAGAGGUUUUCGGACUGUCUCCAAGAGUUUCUGGCAAAACUGUCAGGCAACUCAGGAGGGGAAGCAGUGCUCUACCUGCACUGUGUAUAGUGCAGGUAGAGCACUGCUGACUUCGACUGAGGAUAUUUUCAGGUUGUGGAAGAGAUAUUUAGAGGAUCACCUUAAUCCCAGGGCCGCAUCUUCCGUGGAGGAAGUAGAGUCUGAGGAUGAGGGGGAUGACUUAUCCAUCAAGUCCAUUGCUAUGGGCCAUUCGAUCCUUAUACAACUGCUGCAAGAGUUUGGACCACAUAGCCGGUAAUAAGUGGGACUCUGCCAGGGCUACCCUUUGUCACCGAUUCUGUUCAUAAUUUUUAUAGACAGAAUUUCUAGGCAUAGCCAAGUGGCGGAAGACUUCCACUUGGGUAGUCUUAGAAUCUCAUCUCUUCUUUUCGCAGAUGAUGUGGUUCUGUUGGAUUCAUCAGGUGAUGGCCUCCAGCUUGCACUGGAGCGGUUCGCAAGUGUGAAGCGGCAGGAAUGAGAAUCAGCCCCUCCAAGUCGGAGGCCGUAAUCCUUAGCUGGAAAAAGGUGGAGUGCCCACUACAGUUUUGGGGCGAGUAACUGUUCCAAGUGGAGGAGGUUAAGUAUUUUGUGGUCUUGUUCGCGAGUGAGGGAAGCGGGAGAUUCACAGACCGUUUGCUGCUAUGGCUGCAGUGUUGUGGACGCUAUACUGGUCCAUUGUGGUGAAGAGAGAGUUCACCAUAAAAGCGAUGCACUUAAUUUUCCGGUGGAUCUACAUCCCUACCCUCACCUAGCACUAGAUUGCAGAUACAAGCAGCGUAAAUGAGCUUUCUCCAAAUGUUGGUUGGGCUCUCCCUUAGAGAUAGGGUGAGGAGUUGGGCCAUUCAGGAGGGGCUCAGAGUAGAGCCUCUACUCCUUCACAUCGAAAGGAGCCACUUGAAUUGGUUCUGACAGGGAUGCCACCUGGGCGCCUCAUGCCUGAGGUGUUCUGGGUAUGUCCUACUGGGAGGAGGCCCUGGGGCAGACCCAGGACACACCGGAGAAAUUAUAUCUCUCGGCUGGCCUGGGAAUGGCUUGGUGUUCCCCCCGGAUAAGUGAAAGAAAGUGAAUGGAUGAAUGGAAUAAUGAUGAAGUGAAAAUCUGAGUUUAACCCCUAAUUUUUUUUUUUUCGUGCUGGAGCUUUUGACUUUUCCAGCUGGAAAAGCACAGGAUAGAAAUGGCAGCAUUAUUAGCUCCAUUCAGGGAACACUAGUGUCCCAUGACAGCCAUGUUGAUGAGAAAGCAUGAGUGACUUAUUGUUGAGUGAGUUGUUAAUAACUACAUCAUGGAUUUUUCUGCUCUUGCACCUCUGCUGUUUGUGCAGAUUUAUACAGAGAGAUUUUGUAAAAAAUCUUUUUGUGGAAAAAAAUUUGAUAGAUAGGUAGAUAAUUAAGUUCAAGCACCACAUGUGCUGAAACUGUUGUAAAACUUACAGCUGUAUUAUUGCUGGUCUAACAUUGGUAUGUUUAUUGCCCCUUAUAGAUGCAGUGUAACAAAAAAAGACUGUAAAAGUGGAUGGUAUUAUAUGUUUUUACGUAUAUGAAUUUUGGGUCCUGUGGGUGCUGGAGUAGCAGACCAAUUAAACUAUAAGUUAGUUAUUGUUCUGCUGGGAUACUUUGCAUCUUGAAAUUCGUCUCCAUGUUUCCAUAUUUCCAAUUGGAAGAAGAGCCCAAGGCAACAGCCAUCAGUUUUCCCAGACCCAAAUCCAAUAAAAUCAAUUGCAAGAUUUGCUGAAAUGAGACUAAUCUACCGGCAACAUCACAUGAGUUGAGAGUAUGAGUACGAGAUGAGUAUUUUGCUGGGGAUCUACACAACUGUUGGCAGUUUUGGUUGUUUUAAUUUCUUUAUUGACACCUACCAGCCACCUUGAUAGGUAUUCUGUGCUAGUACCAAGUUGGACCUCCUUUUUCCUUCAGAGCACAGAUUCAACAUUUUUUGGUCCAUUUGAUGUGAUAGCAUAACAUAGUUGUUGCACAUUUGCUGGCUGAAUAUUCAUGAUGGGAAUUUUUCUAUUCCACCACAUCCCAAAGGUCCUCUGUUAGAUUACGAUCUCAUGACUCUGAGGCCAUUUGAGUACAGUGAACUCACUGUCAAGCCAGUAAACCAGUUUCAGAUGAUUUGAACUUUGUGACUCUGGUGUUUUAUCAGAAGAUUCAUUGUACACACCGGAGUCAUGGUCAGAACACGGUCAGCAACAAUACUCAACAAUAAACAAUAUUCAGUUAGCACCAAGGAGGGAAUUGUAAAACCAGGCAAUGUUUUCCAGUCACCCUUUGUCAAACUUUGUGGAUCUCAUGGAAAUUGUUUCCUCUGUUGCCUUUUUUUUUAGCUGACAGGAAUUGCACCCAAUGUGGUCUUUUGCUGAUGUAGAAGACCACACCUACUGUACACCCAAGUCUUUGCAUUGGCAAAGAAUGUUUUUUUUCUUAUUUCUCAUGUUUACCAGUGCGUUACUGCAACAGUUUUCAGUUGUUUUUUGUUCGUUAGUUGUCUUCACCAUGGGAAAUGCACCUCAACUGAGUUGAAAUUGACUGUCUGCCUCUAAAACACCAUAAUGUUGUACUUCAAUACUUUCAAAAAAUUUCUAGUUUUUCUUUGUUCCAGAUGCUGUUGACUUAGCCACUGCUAAUGUCCUAAUAUUCCUAAAGUUAAAUAAAUGUGAUGGAUCUGUUUUGGCUUUCAUCUUAUUGACUGACUGUUUAACUUGCACUUAAUGUGCACACAUUGUGGAUUCACAUAAACAACUAACAGAUGUAAAUACUACACUUGGAAUCAACUCUAGACCUUUUAGAAGACAGUAAAACUUUAUUGUCAUUGCACAGAUGUACCUGCUUAUUUUAUGAAAAAAUAAUGAAAUGAUCAUACAUCUGUCAUAACGCUUGAGUGAAUUGUAGAAUAACAUAUGACAAUAGGAGCUACUCAUAAAAAGAUAAAUGUAAAUGCAAUUCUUCAACUGUUUUAAUUUUUUUUUUUUUAAUUUCAAAACUAGAUUUAUCCUUUAAAUACUAGACAAUAGCUGCCAAGUUUCCCUUUAAUUGAUGAGCAUGAUGUAGCGUUUAUUGUGUU
ensembl:lncRNA